AACGUAGGAGGCAAGCGUUAUCCGGAGUUACUGGGCGUAAAGAGCGCGCAGGCGGUCGGAUUAGUCGCGUGUGAAAGCCCCCGGCUCAACUGGGGAGGGUCACGCGAUACUGUUCGACUCGAAGGCAGGAGAGGGAAGUGGAAUUCCCGGUGUAGUGGUGAAAUGCGUAGAUAUCGGGAGGAACACCAGUGGCGAAGGCGACUUCCUGGCCUGUUCUUGACGCUGAGGCGCGAAAGCUAGGGUAGCAAACGGG
rnacentral:rRNA from 1 species